UACAGAGGUCUCAAGCGUUGUUCGGAUUCAUUGGGCGUAAAGGGUGCGUAGGUGGCGCCGUAAGUCGGGUGUGAAAUCUCGGGGCUUAACUCCGAAACUGCAUUCGAUACUGCCGUGCUUGAGGACUGGAGAGGAGACUGGAAUUUACGGUGUAGCGGUGAAAUGCGUAGAUAUCGUGAAGGAAGACCAGUGGCGAAGGCGGGUCUCUGGACAGUUCCUGA
rnacentral:rRNA from 1 species